rnacentral:misc_RNA from 1 species
AGCAGCCGCGGUAAUUCCAGCUCCAAUAGCGUAUAUUAAAGUUGUUGCAGUUAAGAAGCUCGUAGUUGAAUUUCGGGAUUGACACAUCGGUCGUGCCUUAAGGGGUAUGAACUGGUGUAGUCAAUUUCUCACCUUCUGGAGAACCGCGAUGCCCUUAAUUGGGUGCCGCGGGGAACCAGGACCUUUACUUUGAAAAAAUUAGAGUGUUUAAAGCAGGCAUUUUGCUUGAAUACAUUAGCAUGGAAUAAUAAAAUAGGACGGCAUGAUUCUAUUUUGUUGGUUUCUAGGAUCACCGUAAUGAUUAAUAGGGAUAGUUGGGGGCAUUAGUAUUCAAUUGUCAGAGGUGAAAUUCUUGGAUUUAUUGAAGACUAACUACUGCGAAAGCAUUUGCCAAGGAUGUUUUCAUUAAUCAAGAACGAAAGUUAGGGGAUCGAAGACGAUCAGAUACCGUCGUAGUCUUAACCAUAAACUAUGCCGACUAGGAAUCAGACGAUGUUAAUUUUUUAAUGACUCGUUUAGC